CCUACGGGUGGCAGCAGUGGGGAAUAUUGCACAAUGGGCGCAAGCCUGAUGCAGCCAUGCCGCGUGUAUGAAGAAGGCCUUCGGGUUGUAAAGUACUUUCAGCGAGGAGGAAGGCGUUAAGGUUAAUAACCUUGGCGAUUGACGUUACUCGCAGAAGAAGCACCGGCUAACUCCGUGCCAGCAGCCGCGGUAAUACGGAGGGUGCAAGCGUUAAUCGGAAUUACUGGGCGUAAAGCGCACGCAGGCGGUCUGUUAAGUCAGAUGUGAAAUCCCCGGGCUCAACCUGGGAACUGCAUUUGAAACUGGCAGGCUUGAGUCUUGUAGAGGGGGGUAGAAUUCCAGGUGUAGCGGUGAAAUGCGUAGAGAUCUGGAGGAAUACCGGUGGCGAAGGCGGCCCCCUGGACAAAGACUGACGCUCAGGUGCGAAAGCGUGGGGAGCAAACAGGAUUAGAUACCCUCGUAGUC
rnacentral:rRNA from 1 species